rnacentral:rRNA from 1 species
GUGGGGAAUAUUGCACAAUGGGCGCAAGCCUGAUGUAGCAACGCCGCGUGAGGGACGACGGCCUUCGGGUUGUAAACCUCUUUUAGCAGGGAAGAAGCGAAAGUGACGGUACCUGCAGAAAAAGCACCGGCUAACUACGUGCCAGCAGCCGCGGUAAUACGUAGGGUGCAAGCGUUGUCCGGAAUUAUUGGGCGUAAAGAGCUCGUAGGCGGUUUGUCGCGUCUGCUGUGAAAACCCGAGGCUCAACCUCGGGCCUGCAGUGGGUACGGGCAGACUAGAGUGCGGUAGGGGAGAUUGGAAUUCCUGGUGUAGCGGUGGAAUGCGCAGAUAUCAGGAGGAACACCGAUGGCGAAGGCAGAUCUCUGGGCCGUAACUGACGCUGAGGAGCGAAAGCGUGGGGAGCGAACAGGAUUAGAAACCCCAGUAGUCC